rnacentral:rRNA from 1 species
UACGAAGGGUGCAAACGUUGCUCGGAAUUAUUGGGCGUAAAGCGCACGUAGGCGGCUUGGCAAGUCGGAUGUGAAAUCCCUCGGCUCAACCAAGGAAGUGCAUCCGAAACUGCUGAGCUUGAGUACGAAAGAGGAUCGCGGAAUUCCCGGUGUAGAGGUGAAAUUCGUAGAUAUCGGGAGGAACACCAGUGGCGAAGGCGGCGAUCUGGGUCGAUACUGACGCUGAGGUGCGAAAGCGUGGGGAGCAAACGGG